CAGUCGCCGCGGUAAUACGAAGGGUGCAAGCGUUAAUCGGAAUUACUGGGCGUAAAGCGUGCGUAGGCGGUUUGUUAAGUCUGUUGUGAAAUCCCCGGGCUCAACCUGGGAAUGGCAAUGGAUACUGGCAAGCUAGAGUGUGUCAGAGGGGGGUGGAAUUCCGCGUGUAGCAGUGAAAUGCGUAAAUAUGCGGAGGAACACCGAUGGCGAAGGCAGCCCCCUGGGCCAACACUGACGCUCAUGCACGAAAGCGUGGGGAGCAAACAGGAUUAGAUACCCCCGUAGUCCCUGUCUCUUAUAC
rnacentral:rRNA from 1 species